AGUCGAACGGUAACAGGUUAAGCUGACGAGUGGCGAACGGGUGAGUAAUGUAUCGGAACGUGCCCAGUCGUGGGGGAUAACUGCUCGAAAGAGCAGCUAAUACCGCAUACGACCUGAGGGUGAAAGCGGGGGAUCGCAAGACCUCGCGCGAUUGGAGCGGCCGAUAUCAGAUUAGGUAGUUGGUGAGGUAAAGGCUCACCAAGCCGACGAUCUGUAGCUGGUCUGAGAGGACGACCAGCCACACUGGGACUGAGACACGGCCCAGACUCCUACGGGAGGCAGCAGUGGGGAAUUUUGGACAAUGGGCGCAAGCCUGAUCCAGCCAUGCCGCGUGCGGGAAGAAGGCCUUCGGGUUGUAAACCGCUUUUGUCAGGGAAGAAAAGGUUCUGGCUAAUACCUGGGACUCAUGACGGUACCUGAAGAAUAAGCACCGGCUAACUACGUGCCAGCAGCCGCGGUAAUACGUAGGGUGCAAGCGUUAAUCGGAAUUACUGGGCGUAAAGCGUGC
rnacentral:rRNA from 1 species